rnacentral:rRNA from 1 species
UACGUAGGGCGCAAGCGUUGUCCGGAAUUAUUGGGCGUAAAGAGCUCGUAGGCGGCUUGUCGCGUCGAUUGUGAAAGCCCGGGGCUUAACUCCGGGUCUGCAGUCGAUACGGGCAGGCUAGAGUGUGGUAGGGGAGAUCGGAAUUCCUGGUGUAGCGGUGAAAUGCGCAGAUAUCAGGAGGAACACCGGUGGCGAAGGCAGAUCUCUGGGCCGUAACUGACGCUGAGGAGCGAAAGCUAGGGGAGCAAACGGG